AUUGAACGCUGGCGGCAUGCCUUACACAUGCAAGUCGAACGGCAGCAUGGAGAGCUUGCUCUCUGAUGGCGAGUGGCGAACGGGUGGGUAAUGCAUCGGAACGUACCGUGUAAUGGGGGAUAACGUAGCGAAAGUUACGCUAAUACCGCAUACGACCUGAGGGUGAAAGCAGGGGAUCGCAAGACCUUGCGUUAUACGAGCGGCCGAUGUCAGAUUAGCAAGUUGGUGAGGUAAAGGCUCACCAAGGCGACGAUCUGUAGCGGGUCUAAGAGGAGGAUCCGCCACACUGGGACUGAGACACGGCCCAGACUCCUACGGGAGGCAGCAGUGGGGAAUUUUGGACAAUGGGGGCAACCCUGAUCCAGCCAUGCCGCGUGAGUGAAGAAGGCCUUCGGGUUGUAAAGCUCUUUCGGCCGGGAAGAAAUCGCACAGGCUAAUACUCUGUGUGGAUGACGGUACCGGCAUAAGAAGCACCGGCUAACUACGUGCCAGCCGCCGCGGUAA
rnacentral:rRNA from 1 species